GGCCAUGUGGCCUAAUGGAUAAGGUGUCUGACUUUGGAUCAGAAGAUUGAGGGAUUGAGUCCCUUCAUGGUCA